rfam:Punica granatum cultivar Dabenzi scaffold819, whole genome shotgun sequence.
AGAGCGGAACGCAGCCAAGGAUGACUUGCCGGCAGUCGCACCGCGUUACGGUACUUAACUUAUCAUAUCACACGAGAAGAAAAUAUCGGCUAUCAGAAAAGCCGACAACGUAGGUAAGCACAUUUUGAUUGUCGGCAAGUUGUCCUUGGCUGCAUUUGGUUCUCU